rnacentral:snRNA from 2 species
GUGCUUGCUUCGGCAGCACAUAUACUAAAAUUGGAGCGAUACAGAGAAGAUUAGCAUGGCCCCUGUGCAAGGAUGACAUGCAAAUUCAUGAAGUGGUCCAUAUUUUU